rnacentral:rRNA from 1 species
GACAGAGGAUGCAAGCGUUGUUCGGAAUUACUGGGCGUAAAGCGCGCGUAGGUGGUCUAGUGUGUCUGGUGUGAAAUCCCUUGCUCAACCAAGGAAGUGCGCCAGAAACUGCAAGACUUGAAUUCGGGAGAGGAUGGUAGAAUUCUCAGUGUAGAGGUGAAAUUCGUAGAUACUGGGAGGAACACCGGUGGCGAAGGCGACCAUCUGGACCGACAUUGACACUAAAGUGCGAAAGCGUGGGUAGCAAACAGG